GAUAAUUGGUAGAAUUAAAAGUGGGCAAACCAGGAGUAAACCGCAUGUAUAAUGGCAAUAAAUUUAGGCAAACAUGGCUAUUUUAUACAUAAUAAAAUUGAAAAUGGAAAUGAAGAAUGUGUCAAAGAGAAAAAAAAACCGACAAAACAGCAGAAGACAGCAAAAGGCCACUAUUGGGUCUUCAACACAGCAAGAAAAUCCUGCACUGGGAGGUAGGCUUUUUUGUAAUUCUAAAAUAUUGUCCAACAGUCUUCCUAAAUGUUCUGCAGAAAGUGAUGGUUAAUAAAUAGUUAUAAUCCUCUGUCUUUUUAAUCAGGACCAUCAUAGAUAAAAGCACAAACAGUUUCUAACCAGUUGCUAGACAGAGGUAAACUUGUCUGUAUUACAGGCAUUCACAAGUAACAGGCUAGUAGUUAACAUUAGAAAUACCUUCAUAACUAGAGGCUCUAAAGAGCCUGUGUCGCUCACCUUGGUCUAUGUGAAUAUUAAACAAAGGAAGAAGAUGGAUUCAUGACAAAAUUGUGUUUUGGUGAUGAUAAUGUGUUUGUACAUCUUACUUUACUGAACAUUCUUGCUGCUUACAAUUAUCUCUAUCUAUAAUGAAUUUGGCCCAGUAGUUUCAGUAAAAAAUGUUUGUAAAAAUUUACAAAUUUUAUGAAAAUUGUUAAAAAUUGACUAUAAAGGACAAUAACUCCUUAGGGGUCAAUUGACCAUUUCAGUCAUGUUGACUUAUUUGUAAAUCUUACUUUGCUGUACAUUAUUGCUGUUUAAAGUUUAUCUCUAUCUAUAAUAAUAUUCAAGAUAAUAACCCAAAACAGUAAAAUUUCCUUAAAAUUACCAAUUUAGGGGCAGCAACCCAACAACGGGUUGUCCGAUUCAUCUGAAAAUUUCAGGGCAGAUAGAUCUUGACCUGAUAAACAAUUAAACCACAUGUCAGAUUUGCUCUAAAUGCUUUGGUUUUUGAGUUAUAAGCCAAAACACUGCAUUUUACCCCUAUGUUCUAUUUUUAGCCAUGGUGGCCAUCUUGGUUGGUUGGCCGGGUCACGCCACACAUUUUUUAAACAAGUUACCCCUAUGAUGAUUGUUGCCAAGUUUAGUUCAGGGGUUUCAUUAUCUUUCAUGUUGACUGGUACUUUCCACGUUUCUAGGUGGUACUUUUCAAUUUAUUCCAUGAAUAUCUUAUAUAAAAAUUCCUACAUUUAGGCGGUACUUGUCAAUAGCAUAGGAGGGUAAAAGUACCGGGUACCGCCUCCUAAUGAAUGGCCUGUUAGUUUAAUUUGGCCCAGUAGUUUCAGAGAAGAAGAGUUUUGUAAAAGAUUACUAAGAUUUACGAAAAAAUGGUUAAAAAUUGACUAUAAAGGGCAAUAACUCCUUCAGGGGUCAACUGACCAUUUCGGUCAUGCUGACUUAUUUGUAAAUCUUACUUUGCCUGAACAUUAUUGCUGUUUACAG
rnacentral:lncRNA from 1 species